rnacentral:rRNA from 1 species
CUACCCGCCAGAGAAUUACACGUAAUAAACGUAAAACUCAAAGGACUUGACGGUGACCCACACCUACCUAGAGGAGCCUGUCCUAUAAUCGAUACCCCACGAUACACCUCACCACCCCUUGCGCCCAAAGCCUAUAUACCGCCGUCGCCAACCUACCUAAUGAUAGACCAAAAGUAGGUAAAACAGUAACCCCCACUAAUACGUCAGGUCAAGGUGUAGCUGAUGGGGUGGACAGAGAUGGGCUACAUUUUCUAGUUCACUAGACCACUACCAUAAGCCCAAUGAAACAUAGGCCCAAAGGUGGAUUUAGCAGUAAGCUCUGACAAGACAUGCCCAACUGAAACCUGCUCUGGGUCGCGUACACACCG